AUCAAAUCAUUAUUUCUGUCAUAACUGACAUUUGCAUAGCUGUCAUUUUUUUGAGUGUUUUUUUUUAACUUUUUUUUAUAGAGCUAUACUUUUUUGAUUGUUUAAUGUAAAAAAAUAACUCUGAAGGCAUGGUUUAUAGAGAAUGUCAUAGAUACAAACAAACAAAAAUUAAAAGAAUUUAUUUAAUAUUUCUCUAGCAUAAACUUAAAUCUGGUAAGCCUGUUAAAAUACGGUAGAUAUGUGAGGACUUUUUGGUGGGAACGCGAGGAGUGAAGUUGUGUGAUUUGUUUUAUUUUGUCUAUUUCGUGUUUCUUCGGGUUUAAAUGUGUAAUAAUGGUGGUUUAUUAACUGUUUAAUAUCUGUGAAAGUGCACAAAUGUGGGAAAAUGAAAUAAAGCCGCUGGACGUAACCUCUCGGGAUCCUCCAAAAAGUCCACUGAAAAAAUCUAAAUGACCACCAUUUUACUGAGAUUAUACUUCAUCCCGUAUCAUCUCAUUUAAUUUCAUCUCAGUUGAUUAAUGUCUCAAAUUAAUCAUCUUCAUUUCAUUUCACUUCAUAAUAUCAAUUUUCAUAAAAAUAAGAAUAUAAAUUAAAAUAAGACAUGACUUAAAGGUCUCAGUUACCAGGUCAUAAAAUCCCUUAAAAAAAAAAGGUAGAUAUGUGAUUUGCGAAAUCGUGUUAAAUGAGACUAGAAGCCAGUAUAAAAAGGACGCAUAGUAAUUUUUCUGAUUGAAACAAACGCCUCGACUUUCCUGGUCGCAUUCUCACUUUCUUCGGGCAUGUGUCGCGGCGGGGUGACGACUCAGUUGAGCGCCUUGUGGUGCAGGGCAUGAUAGAGGGUACAAGACCGCGCGGCAGAUCACCGUUACGAUGGACCGACCGAAUAAAGGCAGCCCUAAACGGUCCUGUUAACGAGUGCACAAGAAGGGCCGCGGUACGCGAGGAAUGGCGACGUCUGGUGAAGCGCACCACCAACCGAAGUGAUGACCACGACCACUCUGCCAAGAGUGCAUGCGACUGAGAAGAAGAAGUGCAUAAUGUAACUUUCUAAAUCAUUUUAAACAAAACUCUCGUUGUCCUGUUGUAGUAGGACCGUGCUAUAAGGGGGUUUUAGGGAAUUUUUCUUUUCGCGUUAGAGUGGGACCGUGUUGUAAGUUACCUCGUUAUAGGAUUGCUACCUGUAUAUAUCAUGUGUCACGAUGUUUGUCCGGGAUGAACGCUGAAACUAAUCAACCGAUUUAAAUUUUUUUUAAAAAGUGUAACGUGCGGAACCGAAGUAUAAUAAAAAAAUCCUCUCACGCUAAACGGAACCCUAAAGUGUCGACCAACGCCGUGCGACCGACGCGACGCCGCGACGCGACGCCUGCGCAGGAUUCGUAAAAAUGCAGUCAGUGAGUUUCGAAAAAUUGAAUAAUGCGCAUGCGCCGGUCGCUGCACAAAAUUAUUAAUUUAAAACUAUCUUACCUUGUUGUACCUUAAGUUGUAACGAUUAAAUAAAUGAUUAACAUUAAAA